UACAGAGGGGGCAAGCGUUGUUCGGAAUUACUGGGCGUAAAGGGCGCGUAGGCGGCCUUCUAAGUCGAACGUGAAAUCCCCGGGCUCAACCCGGGAACUGCGUCCGAUACUGGAAGGCUUGAAUCCGGGAGAGGGAUGCGGAAUUCCAGGUGUAGCGGUGAAAUGCGUAGAUAUCUGGAGCAACACCGGUGGCGAAGGCGGCAUCCUGGACCAACAUUGACGCUGAGGAGCGAAAGCCAGGGGAGCAAACGGG
rnacentral:rRNA from 1 species